CACAACUCAAAGUAAUAUAUGUUGGCUUCUUUUAGACCUACAAAUAUCAUAAUAAUAAAAUGAAAUAUAUAUUUUUUUUUAUCAAUAUCCAAUAAAUUGGUUCAAGAACAUAUUAUUAGACUCGACCUUCAUGUCCCAACACCAAAGCAUAUAACCCAAUCUAAACAUAAACAAUAGUCUAAACAACUUUUGAGAACAAAAUAACAUAGAUUACAAUAAUUCUCCACUUCGCUAUCUUGAUCAAACACCUUGAUAUUACUCCUUUAUCUCGUCAUGAGAGAAUCCUACAUAUAUUCCAUACAACAAAAACAAGGAGUGAGAUAUGUUAUACCUGACUCAAAGUUGUAUCAUAGUGGCAAUGCAUAGAAACAAACACACAAAUAUACAUUUUUUUAAAGGCACAAAAAUACAUUUAUAACUUCAAACCGUCAAAGGUAAACAUAUCCCUAUACAAAAGAUAUAUAUCAAAUACAUUAUUUCUUCAAUUCUACUAGUCCAUAUACAUGUUGCAAUGACUACUCAUAUUCAAAAAAGUUGACUAGGAGGACAAGGAAAGUCAAAAUAGAACAUCAUGCAAAAAAUAUGGCUACUUAGUGGUGUUUGUGAGUCGGAUAUCCAUGACUCAAAAGAGAUUAAAUUUGCAUUGAAGAUAUGAUAAUAUCAUGUGUAUUGGCGCAUGAUGAGGUUUAUUUUUGGCCUCAUCCUUUAUAAAUAAUUUUAUUAUUAUUAUUAUUAUUACUACAAUUCUACAUUUGGUUAGAAGACACGAGAGUGUUAUUUUAUCCUAAAUAUUACACUUUGAUUGACUACUAAUAUCUAGAAUUUGUUAAGUAAGAACACACUUGGACGUCAUUAGCGAGAGAAUUUUAGAGGAUGGACCAUAAUCAAUGUUAACUUUUAGUUUAGGAUACAUCAUAUACCUAUGAUAUAUUUGAAUGGAACAUUAAUUAGAAUGUAUGUUAUCAUUGUGCAGAUUAUGUGUAAUUUUUUAUGUGUGGAGUAUUAUUUAUGUUAUUUACUUAGGUUUCAUCUUUGGAAGUUUGAUAAUCUAGACUCUCACUAAGAUGAUAUAAUGUGCGAGUUGGGUUUCGAAGGGGAAGGGAGGGGAAGGAAAGGCUUAUGGAGUGGUAAACCCUUGUUUGCGAGUUUAAAAAAAAACAAGGGAUAGGUUUUGGGGGGGUUUUGAAGGGCUUCAUUUGACCAAUUUUAAAGUUCCCCCAAAUUUGGGGAUUUUGGGGGGUGAAACAUACAAAUUGACAAUUUUUCCCUGAUAAUAAUUCAAAAUUCCAAUUUUAGACAUGACCAAAUUAAUACAAUCUCCUUUUCAAAAACCACUUAUUCAAAAGAUCUUAUUUAUCCAAAACAACUUAUUACGACCUCUGUUCAAAAAACAACUUAUUCAAAACAAUUUAUUUAUCCAAAACAACUUAUUAUGACCUCUUUUUCAAAAACAGCUUAUUUAUCCAAAACAGCUUCUAACGAUCUCUUAUUCAAAACAACUUAUCUAUGAAAAACAACUUAUUACGACCUCUUUUAAGAAAAACAACUUAUUCAAAACAACUUAUUUAUGCAAAACAGCUUAUUACGACCUCUUUUCAAAAAACAGCUUAUUCAAAACAGCUUAUUUAUGCAAAAUAGCUUAUUACGACCUCUUUUUCAAAAAUAGCUUAUUCAAAACAGCUUAUUUAUGCAAAACAACUUAAUACAACCUCUUUUUCAAAAACAACAUAUUCAAAACAGCUUAUAUAUCCAUAACAGCUUAUUACGAUCUCUUUGCAUAAAUAAGCUAUUUUUCGAAAAGAGGUCGUAAUAAGCUGUUUUGCAUAAAUAAGCUGUUUUUUGAAAAGAGGUUGUAAUAAGUUGUUUAUGCAUAAAUAAGUUGUUUUGAAUAUGCUGUUUUUUUUAAAAGAGGUCGUAGUAAGUUGUUUUGCAUAAAUAAGCUGUUUUUUUUAAAGGAGAUCAUAAUAAGUUGUUUGUCAUAAGAUAAAGUAUUUUGAAUAAGCUCUAUUUUAAAAAGAUAUCAUAAUGAACUGGUUUGCAUUAAUAAGUUGUUUUUCAAAAAGAGAUUGUAAUAAGUUUUUUUUUUGUAAAUAAGUUGUUUUGAAUAAGUUGUUUUUUAAAAAGAGAUCGUAAUAAUUAUUUUUCAUGAGAUAAGCUAUUUUGAAUAAAUUACAAGAUAAAUUACAAAGUAUAACACAAUGUAUUGAUUUUAAGAGAAAAAAAAGGGUAAAAUAGUAAAAUUAUAACAAGCCCUUCAUCUCCUUUCCUUGUUGGUUUUUUAACUCCCAAACAAGGGGAAGGUUUUCCCUCCUUUCUCCCUUCCCUACCUUUCCUUUCCUUCCCCUCCUUGGUCUUUCCUUUCAUUCCCCUCAAAACUCGCAAACAAAGCCGAAGAUAACACCGUAAAGUAUUAAACUCAAUCAUUUACUCUCAUCUAUUGAGAUAUAAAACUCAAUUAUAAUUUUCUUAUAAUAUGUAUCAAUUGACCUUAGUUUGUUCUUAUACCUAAACAUUUUAAGGACAUUCAAAAGGAAGAAAAGAUAACAACAAUUUCAUUAUCAAUUUAACAUGUUUAGGCUUCAAAUUUUUGUUGGAGUACCUCAAUAUGUGACAGUUUCUAAUUUAAUUAAUAUAUCUAAUUGUCAUUCAAUAUAUAUAUAUAUAUAUAUAUAUAUUACAUUCUUCACAAAGAAAUUGCAUGGUCAAAGAAAUAUCUGAAAGCUUGAGACAAAUUAUAACAGCAACAACAUUAUAACAAGAAAAAGAAAAUAGAAGGAUUAGACAUAGCAAAUACAUAUUUUUUUUACCUUUAGAUAAGCUUAUACAAUCACCACCAACACACUUCAUAAGAUAUUUAUAAGAAUUAGGAAAUAGUUCAAGGCAAUCGACAUCAAGAGCACACUUUUCCUUUUUUUUAUACAAUGUAACAAAAUGUUCUGCAAUGUAAAUAAAGAAAAAAUGAAUAUUGUUAAAAGUAGUAAAAUAUUGUCUAUAAGAUAAAAAUUAUAUAUAACAUUGAGCUUACGUUCAGCAGCAACCAAAACAAGCAAUAAGAAGACAAAUAGAAUCACGAUAUGAACAAACUUGAGAAUU
rnacentral:lncRNA from 1 species